rnacentral:lncRNA from 1 species
GCUGUACCACAUAUCUACCAAAACUCAUUUUUUCAAGGUGUGCUCAACAUAUUUAUCAAAAAGUCCAAGUCUUCUAUGUUCCAAACACGAAGUUUGAAAGAACUCUUGUGGGGUUAUGAAGAUCCAUUCUUGAGUUUGAUUCCAUAUCCUAUAAGUACCACAGUUGGUGUGUUUUAUCCUUACAAUAACACUGUAGAUGGAGUUUAUAAAGUUUUCAAUGGAAAGGAUAACAUAAGCAAAGUUGCCAUAAUUGAUACCUAUAAAGGGAAAAGGAAUUUGUCCUAUUGGAAAAGUUAUUGCGACAUGAUUAAUGGCACAGGUAAGAAUCUUUGUUGUCAUAAACAUAGUGAGAAAAACUUCACGUUUUCCCACAAAUCUACCCCUCUUCUAGCCAAGAAAAUCCAGGUUGAGGGGCUAUGAUUACCAGUCAGUAUAAUUCAGAGUCUAUUUUUG